CCUCUUUGAAGAUGAAAACAAUUCAACAACCUUCUUCUCCAUGCCUUUCAGAAUGAAUUUCUUCUUCUCCCGGAUUUUUCUUUCAAUUCUUGGCUGAAGUUUCAAGCUGUGAUCACUCCAGGCUUUUAAUUUCAGUCUAAUUCAAGUCAGCAGCAUAGGGCAGCUCCUGGGAAAUUGGUUUACACAUGCGGACAAGCCCAGUAGCCCAGAGCUAACCCACUCACCAUCCCUGACCACAGAGGAGCAGAUAAGGAAGCAAGAUUUGUCGGGAGCUAUGACAAGUUCCACUGUGGAUGGCAAGGAAAUGAGGGGGGCAGCAACCUGUUAAUGAGACUCAAGAGUGUCAAGACCCAUUUUUGUUAUCUGGAUUUUCAAGGCCGAGUUCAAACAUGAGGAUCCUGGAAAGGUUGGCAGACGUCUGCGGAAGCUACCUUCUCUGUUGUAAAAGUCCACAAAUGAGAAGUGGCUGCAGUGUAUAAACCUGUGGACAGCUCUUCUUGUACUGUCACCCACUCUCAUAGCUCACCAUCCUCAGGCACCCU
ensembl:lncRNA novel transcript